rnacentral:lncRNA from 1 species
CCUAGUGUUCUCAACAUAGAAAUCAACAGGAGAAUCACAAUCAUAGGCAUAGGCAGAAGAAACAGUAUCCACAAAGCCAAAAUAGGUAGACAUGGGAAAGAAGGGGGAAAAGAAGAAUGCAAUGAAAAUAUGAAACUAAAGCUACCUAAAUGCAACACACAAUGACGAACACACAAAACAGAACAUCACACUCACAACACAAGACAAGACAACACACACUAACACAACAAAAGACCUAAAACCGAACCGUUCGUCCCCAGCAACGACGCCAAAAUUUUGAUGGGUGUCGCACCCCAUGCAAAAUUUAAUUUGCAUAUGAGAAUGCAGUAUAGACUAGGAAGUGACUGCUAGGUCGUCUCUCAAGGACCAAACCGUGGUUCAGGAAUUAGGUCUGGCACGUAGUGGGGGAGUUUGUGAAAGGAUUGUGAAUGCAGAUAAACCAACUUAAAAGACAAAUGCAAACAGAAAUGUAAACACAAAUGUAAAAACAAAAAUGAAUAUAAAAUGAAAACGGUUGGUCAUUAACUCAAUCACUAUGCUUCCAAUCACAAAUCAAUGACAAGUACACACUACUCUAAUCCAAAUCCGACUCGAAUCACCCAACUAAGCGAAGGCUAAUUCGGUCUUCAGAAUUACA